GCUCCCUCUCUCACAUCCCUUGCAUGGUGGAGGGUGAACUUUCUGAAAACCCCUCCCACAUGCAGGGUUUGCAGGAUGGCGAGC
ncrna:Pan troglodytes (chimpanzee) microRNA ptr-mir-188 precursor